CGCUGGAAACGGCGUCUAAUACUGGAUAUGUGACGUGACCGCAUGGUCUGCGUCUGGAAAGAAUUUCGGUUGGGGAUGGGCUCGCGGCCUAUCAGCUUGUUGGUGAGGUAAUGGCUCACCAAGGCGUCGACGGGUAGCCGGCCUGAGAGGGUGACCGGCCACACUGGGACUGAGACACGGCCCAGACUCCUACGGGAGGCAGCAGUGGGGAAUAUUGCACAAUGGGCGCAAGCCUGAUGCAGCAACGCCGCGUGAGGGACGACGGCCUUCGGGUUGUAAACCUCUUUUAGCAGGGAAGAAGCGAAAGUGACGGUACCUGCAGAAAAAGCGCCGGCUAACUACGUGCCAGCAGCCGCGGUAAUACGUAGGGCGCAAGCGUUAUCCGGAAUUAUUGGGCGUAAAGAGCUCGUAGGCGGUUUGUCGCGUCUGCUGUGAAAUCCGGAGGCUCAACCUCCGGCCUGCAGUGGGUACGGGCAGACUAGAGUGCGGUAGGGGAGAUUGGAAUUCCUGGUGUAGCGGUGGAAUGCGCAGAUAUCAGGAGGAACACCGAUGGCGAAGGCAGAUCUCUGGGCCGUAACUGACGCUGAGGAGCGAAAGGGUGGGGAGCAAACAGGCUUAGAUACCCUGGUAGUCCACCCCGUAAACGUUGGGAACUAGUUGUGGGGUCCAUUCCACGGAUUCCGUGACGCAGCUAACGCAUUAAGUUCCCCGCCUGGGGAGUACGGCCGCAAGGCUAAAACUCAAAGGAAUUGACGGGGACCCGCACAAGCGGCGGAGCAUGCGGAUUAAUUCGAUGCAACGCGAAGAACCUUACCAAGGCUUGACAUAUACGAGAACGGGCCAGAAAUGGUCAACUCUUUGGACACUCGUAAACAGGUGGUGCAUGGUUGUCGUCAGCUCGUGUCGUGAGAUGUUGGGUUAAGUCCCGCAACGAGCGCAACCCUCGUUCUAUGUUGCCAGCACGUAAUGGUGGGAACUCAUGGGAUACUGCCGGGGUCAACUCGGAGGAAGGUGGGGAUGACGUCAAAUCAUCAUGCCCCUUAUGUCUUGGGCUUCACGCAUGCUACAAUGGCCGGUACAAAGGGCUGCAAUACCGCGAGGUGGAGCGAAUCCCAAAAAGCCGGUCCCAGUUCGGAUUGAGGUCUGCAACUCGACCUCAUGAA
rnacentral:rRNA from 1 species